rnacentral:rRNA from 1 species
UACGUAGGGGGCAAGCGUUGUCCGGAUUUAUUGGGCGUAAAGAGCGUGUAGGCGGCCAAGCAGGUCAGCUGUGAAAACUCGAGGCUCAACCUCGAGACGUCGGUUGAAACCGCUACGGCUAGAGUCCGGAAGAGGAGAGUGGAAUUCCCGGUGUAGCGGUGAAAUGCGCAGAUAUCGGGAAGAACACCCGUGGCGAAGGCGGCUCUCUGGGACGGUACUGACGCUGAGACGCGAAAGCGGUGGGGAGCGAACAGG